CCUACGGGGGGCAGCAGUGGGGAAUAUUGCACAAUGGGCGCAAGCCUGAUGCAGCCAUGCCGCGUGUGUGAAGAAGGCCUUCGGGUUGUAAAGCACUUUCAGCGGGGAGGAAGGCGUUAAGGUUAAUAACCUUGUCGAUGGACGUUACCCGCAGAAGAAGCACCGGCUAACUCCGUGCCAGCAGCCGCGGUAAUACGGAGGGUGCAAGCGUUAAUCGGAAUUACUGGGCGUAAAGCGCACGCAGGCGGUCUGUCAAGUCGGAUGUGAAAUCCCCGGGCUCAACCUGGGAACUGCAUUCGAAACUGGCAGGCUAGAGUCUUGUAGAGGGGGGUAGAAUUCCAGGUGUAGCGGUGAAAUGCGUAGAUAUCUGGAGGAAUACCGGUGGCGAAGGCGGCCCCCUGGACAAAGACUGACGCUCAGGUGCGAAAGCGUGGGGAGCAAACAGGAUUAGAUACCCGGGUAGUC
rnacentral:rRNA from 1 species